AGGGUUUGAUUAUGGCUCAGGAUGAACGCUAGCGGCAGGCUUAACACAUGCAAGUCGAGGGGUAUAUAUAGCUUGCUAUAUAGAGACCGGCGCACGGGUGCGUAACGCGUAUACAAUCUACCUUAAUCAAAGGGAUAGCCCAGAGAAAUUUGGAUUAAUACCUUAUGUGAUAAUUAAUUGGCAUCGAUUAGUUAUUAAAGAUUUAUCGGAUUAAGAUGAGUAUGCGUCCCAUUAGCUAGUUGGUAUGGUAACGGCAUACCAAGGCGAUGAUGGGUAGGGGUCCUGAGAGGGAGAUCCCCCACACUGGUACUGAGACACGGACCAGACUCCUACGGGAGGCAGCAGUGAGGAAUAUUGGUCAAUGGAGGCAACUCUGAACCAGCCAUGCCGCGUGUAGGAAGAAUGUCUUAUGGAUUGUAAACUACUUUUAUACAGGAAGAAACCUACCCUUGCGAGGGUAAUUGACGGUACUGUAAGAAUAAGGAUCGGCUAACUCCGUGCCAGCAGCCGCGGUAAUACGGAGGAUUCGAGCGUUAUCCGGAAUCAUUGGGUUUAAAGGGUCCGUAGGCGGGUAGAUAAGUCAGUGGUGAAAGUUUUCAGCUCAACUGGAAAAAUGCCAUUGAUACUGUUUAUCUUGAAUUAGUGUGAAGUAACUAGAAUAUGUAGUGUAGCGGUGAAAUGCAUAGAUAUUACAUAGAAUACCGAUUGCGAAGGCAGGUUACUAACACUAUAUUUGACGCUGAUGGACGAAAGCGUGGGUAGCGAACAGGAUUAGAUACCCUGGUAGUCCACGCCGUAAACGAUGGAUACUAGCUGUUUGAACUUUGGUUUGAGUGGCUAAGCGAAAGUGAUAAGUAUCCCACCUGGGGAGUACGCACGCAAGUGUGAAACUCAAAGGAAUUGACGGGGGCCCGCACAAGCGGUGGAGCAUGUGGUUUAAUUCGAUGAUACGCGAGGAACCUUACCAGGGCUUAAAUGUAGAUUGACAGGUUUAGAGAUAGACUUUCCUUCGGGCAAUUUACAAGGUGCUGCAUGGUUGUCGUCAGCUCGUGCCGUGAGGUGUCAGGUUAAGUCCUAUAACGAGCGCAACCCCUAUUGUUAGUUGCCAUCGAGUAAAGUCGGGAACUCUAACAAGACUGCCGGUGUAAACCGCGAGGAAGGUGGGGAUGACGUCAAAUCAUCACGGCCCUUACGUCCUGGGCCACACACGUGCUACAAUGGCCAGUACAGCGAGCAGCCACUUGGCAACAAGGAGCGAAUCUAUAAAACUGGUCACAGUUCGGAUCGGAGUCUGCAACUCGACUCCGUGAAGCUGGAAUCGCUAGUAAUCGGAUAUCAGCCAUGAUCCGGUGAAUACGUUCCCGGGCCUUGUACACACCGCCCGUCAAGCCAUGGAAGCUGGGGGUACCUGAAGUCGGUGACCGCAAGGAGCUGCCUAGGGUAAAACUGGUAACUAGGGCUAAGUCGUAACAAGGUAACC
rnacentral:rRNA from 1 species